AUCGAACGCUGGCGGCGUGGCUAAGGCAUGCAAGUCGCACGCGAAAGUUCCCUUCGGGGAGCGAGUAGAGUGGCGAAAGGGCGAGCAAUACAUGGGUAACGUACCUUUAGCAUGGGGAUAGCUGCGGGAAACUGCAGGUAAUACCCAAUAAUACCAUCGUUUCAUAAGGUAUGAUGGUCAAAGAUGGGGAUCGAAAGACCUAUCGGCUUUAGAGCGGCCCAUGUCCUAUCAGCUAGUUGGUGAGGUAACGGCCCACCAAGGCAAUGACGGGUACCGGGACUGAGAGGUUGGCCCGGCGCAUUGGGACUGAGACACUGCCCAGACUCCUACGGGAGGCUGCAGCAACGAAUAUUCCGCAAUGGACGAAAGUCUGACGGAGCGACGCCGCGUGCAGGAAUAAGCCCUUCGGGUGUAAACUGCUGUCAGGGAUCACCAAGCCAAAGGGGCCGUAAUACGUCCCCGCGUUCGAGGAGUCCCGGAGGAAGCCACGGCUAACUUCGUGCC
rnacentral:rRNA from 1 species